rnacentral:tmRNA from 1 species
GGGGCUGAUUAGGAUUCGACGCCGGUUGCAAAACUUUAGGGGCAUGCCGAGUUGGUAACAGAACUCGUAAAUCCACUGUUGCAAACUCUAUAAUUGCCAAUGAUGACAAUUACGGUGCCCAACUAGCUGCGUAAGCAGCCUAGUCGCACUUCUGGUAGCUUCGGCUCCAGCAAUCAUUAGGGGAUGUCUGUAAACCUGAAAUGAUUGUCAUAUAGAACAGAAUCGUCGCCUAGUACGUCGUGGACGAAGCGACUAAACAUUACACGACUCGCCCAAAGCACCCUGCCCGUCGGGCGGCCUAGGGUUAAUUCAGUAGACACGGCUAAGCAUGUAGAUCCGAGAGCGGAGGACUGGCGGACGGGGGUUCAAAUCCCCCCGGCUCCACCA